GAUUUCUAUGGCUCCAAGUUCACCAGCAAUAUGAUAUGCGCUGCCAGAAAACGCAUGGAUACUUGUGACGGUGACUCUGGUGGUCCUCUCCUUUACCAGAACGUGGCCGUAGGUGUGACCUCCAACGGUGGGAAAAAGUGUGGCACACUGAAGAAACCUGGUCUGUACACAAUAAUAUCUAAUUUCACUGACUGGAUAGAGAAAACCAUGAGAGUAAACUAGGCCACUGCAAGACGAUUGUAACUUCUGUAUUUGUGUUUUGGUAUAAGACCAUCUUAUUAUAGAGGCAACUGUAAGUCAAUAAACUGAAUAAACACAAUGAUUGUACUACUA